rnacentral:misc_RNA from 1 species
AUGUUGGUGUUGUCAGAGGACGGGAAGACCCUGGACGCCUUCCUGAAGGCACCUGUGCCCAUAUACAUGCAGAUCUACCUCUUCAACGUCACCAACCCCGACGCCAUCCGCUACCACGGCGCCAAGCCUGUCCUCCAGCAGGUCGGACCCUACACCUACCUGGAGGUCCGUGAGAAGUACAACCUUGACUGGAAUCACACCAAAGGCACCGUCUCCUAUCGCCAGAAUAUUAGCUUCUUCUUCAACGAAGAGAUGUCCAAUGGCCUCAAGGAGACUGACUACAUCACUACCAUUAAUGCUGUCAUGGUUACUGUGGCAGCUAAGAUUGAGAACUUGGGGCCGGCAGUCCAAGCUAUGGCGGAGUUAGCAUUUUUAAGAUUUAAGGAGUCGCUGUUCAUCUCAAGAAGUGUUGGGGAGCUGCUGUUCCGAGGCUACAAGGAACCUCUGCUGGCCGAGCUCGCCAAGUACAUUGGUGACCCCACUAAUUCCAAUGGCAGAUUUGGCUUCUUCUAUCCAAUUGCAGCCCAAGUCUUUGGCACCCAGAACAAUCUGAUACUGAAUGCAGUUUGGAGUCAGUUGGAAAAAGGAUUGGAUCUCUUUGACAGACACACUGUUGGUGAACUCCUCUUCGAUGGUUUUCUUUUACCAGAAUUCGACUUCGACUUCUCACACCUGUCGCCCAAAUUAAAUUUCACGCAAGGCUGGACUGGGACAAUCUAUGAGAUUUUGCAGAAAAUGGGCGUGUCGAAUAUCCCUGCUUUUUUACAAGAGAACAAACUGAGCCUCUUGUUUGGGCGUAACGACACCAAUGACGGGAUACACACAGUUAGUACUGGUGAGAAAGACAUGAGCACCUAUCUAGAGACCCAAGAAUGGAAUGGCAAAUCGGCCCUCACCUACUGGAAUGACCAGUACUGCAACAUGAUCAAUGGAACAGAUGGCUCACAGUACCCUCCCAAGGUCACUAAGGACACCGUACUUAAGAUAUUCACAUCAGAACUCUGCAGGUCAUUGUACCUAACCUAUGAGAAGGAAAUCAAGCACAAUGGCAUCCACGCCUACCGCUUCACGGCUCCGGAGAAAAUGUUACAGGCUGCCAGUGAAAAUCCAGAUAACGCCUGCUACUGCUAUCCUGAUAUGAAUCACUGUCUUGGCAGUGGCAUGCUCAGUUUGGAACCAUGUGCAAAAGGGGCAAAAGUGAUCAUGUCAACACCACACUUCUACAUGGGGGACAAGAUUGAACUUGCGAAGCUAGUGGGGCUGAACCCUAGCAAGGAAGAACAUGAAACCUUCUUGGAUGUUGAACCCAAGACUGGGGUGACCAUGAAGGCAGCGAAAAAAAUUCAGAUCAAUGUACCUUUAAGACCCUAUGGCAACCUUCCUUCGUUCAAAAAUGUUCCUGAAGUCACCUUUCCUAUUCUUUGGGUUAAUGAAAGUGCAGAUGUUAAUGCAACAGUGUCCAAAGAGGUUAUAAAAGGAGUUAGUCUGCCUUUUGUCGUCGUCAAUGCCAUCUGUGGCACCUUAAUAGCUCUUGGACUUGUUUUCCUUAUUGUUGGAGGAAUUAAAUUCAGCAAAAUCAGAACAGUACAAGUCUCCUGGGAAUGGCAGAACGUCUGUGGCCACACUCAGUCAUGCCUGAAUGUAACUGGAAAUGUGAGUCCGGUGAUUAACCAGCGCACAAACAGUAUUGGCCUGCAGGCGGCCAGUCAUGACCCAGCACUCCGUCUACUACUCUGGGCUGAGCCUGGCCUCAGCAAUAUAAGGCGGGCACCAGCUAGCUAGAAUGAUUGGAUCUGCAUCAUCUCUAGAAAUAACACUUCUCUCCUGGCUACAGCAGUCAACAGAUUUUGAGUAUAUAUAUUACUGAGUGAGUAAAUAUUGAAGCCGUUGAUGGGAUUGAACCCACAUACCUGAACUCCUCAGGCUCAGGCACUACCAACUGGACUACACAUGCAGAGAACCCAUGGGCAGCAGAAGCUUUAAACUUGGAGUUCGUGUGAAGGUGGGCAGAAGCCAUCAACUGUGAUAAACACUUACGUUAAUCAGAAAAAUCUCUUGCCUUAAAAUUUGGCCUUCAAGAUGCUACCAUUGAACACAGCACUUCUCUAAUUUCUUAAAGUGUAAAAUGUAGGAGUUUGACCAUACAAACAUAGACAGGUGUGAAUAGAUUGUGUAUCAAGUUUACUUGAAUUUACCUGAAGACAGCCAGCUCUAGUGGCCUCAACAAACACAGGAAGCUGGAAGCUUGUCAAAGAUUCCCCUAUUUUAUUCUUGAGGACAUACACAUGUGGACAUCAUUGAGAGAUCUUUAGAUGAGCUGAUACCCAAACCACACUUUAAAGAAAGAUGUUUUAUAAAUCUAUAAUUGUUCAGUAUUUCCAAUCACAGAUGCGAUUGUGUCAGCAGCUGUGCCUGCUCUUGUACCUCUAAUUGCAGCUGGGAUGGCAAUGUUUUAUACUUGUUUGGGUGCUUCCAGUUGCAGUUGUUUAUGUUGACAGUUAUUCUGAUGUCAGCUGUUGUAAUUCCAAAGAUUUCUAUUGUAUUUCCAAUAACAGCUUUAUGAAUGACAGUUGUUGUAUUUACAAUGUCAUUUGUCAUAUUUCCAAUGAAACCUGGUACAUUUCAUGACAGUAAUUGUAUUUUCACUAUCAACUGUUUUAUUUUUAUUGACAUUGUUUGGUUUUACAAUUUCUGCUGCCAUUAUGUUUACAAUGAUAGCUAAUGCAUUUCACUGAUAGUGACUAUUAUAUACUGUAUUUUCAAUGACAGAUGUUAUUGUAUUACCAUUGAUAGUUGCAGCUGUAUUUCAACUAACAAUUGUUGUAAUCCCAAAGAACAAGUAUUGUAUGUCCAACAGCAAUAGGUGUUCUAUUGCCAAGACAUAUCACUGCAUUUACAGGUGCAUCUGCCAUUGCAUUUCCAGUAACACCUGAUAUUGUAUCUCCAAUUAUGGCUGCUAUUGUAUUUCCAUUACCAGCUACUGUUGUAUUUUUACCAACAGGUUGGUGUAUUUCCAGUAACAUUUGAUAUUGUAUAUACAAUGACAGUUUCUGUUGUAUUUUUUUGAUGAUAGCUUGUAUUUUCAUUGACAUUUGAUACUGUAUUUCAUGCAAUGACAGUUGCUAUUUUCUAAGUGUUGCAGCUGUCACAUUUUCUGUGGCAGUGCUGCUGUAUUUCCAGUGAUAACUCUUACAUUUCAUAAGAUAGCUGCUGUUGUAUGUCCAGUGACCUCUCAUACUUUCAGUGAUAGCUGCUGCUGUAUUUACAGUAACAGCCAUUAUAUUUAUAACAACAUAAAACCAUUAUAUUCCUAAAGACACCUGCUAUUGCUCCCAUUGAUAGCUUCUGUUUACCCUGGUGACAGUAGUUGUGUUUCCAGGGAUAGCUGAUAUUUCCAUUUUCAGCUGAUGUUGGUUCUCCAGUAACAGCUGAUGUUGGUUCUCCAAUUUUGGCUGAUGAUGGUUCUCCAAUUUUGGCUGAUGUUGGUUCUCCAAUUUUGGCUGAUGUUGGUUCUCCAAUAACAGUUGAUGUUGGUUCUCCAAUUUCAGCUGAUGUUGGUUAUCCAUUUUCAGUUGAUGUUGGUUAUCUCUUUUCAGCUGAUGUUGGUUAUCCAUUUUCAGUUGAUGUUGGUUCUCCAUUUUCAGCUAAUGUUGGUUCUCCAGUAACAGUUGAUGUUGGUUCUCCAUUUUCAGUUGAUGUUGGUUAUCCAUUUUCAGUUGAUGUUGGUUCUCCAAUAACAGCUGAUGUUGGUUAUCCAUUUUCAGCUGAUGUUGGUUAUCCAUUUUCAGUUGAUGUUGGUUCUCCAGUAACAGCUGUUAUUGUUUCCAGUGACAACUGUUUUGUUUCUACUUACAGCUGUUGUUGGCUUUCCAGUAACAAUUGUUGUGCUCUCAGUAACAGCUGUUGUUGUACUUCCAAUGACAGUAGUUCUUAUAUUUUCCAAUGGCUGAAGUUGAUGUGUUUCCAGUGACAACUGAUGUUUCUAGUGGCAGCUGUUGUCUUUCUAGUGACAGCUAUUGUUCUUUCCAGAGACAACUGUUGUUGUUCCAAGUGACAGCUGUUGUCUUUCCAGUGACAUCUGUUGUCUUUCCAGUGCCAGCUGUUGUCUUUCCAGUGCCAGCUGUUGUCUUUCCAGUGCCAGCUGUUGUCUUUCCAGUGCCAGCUACAGUGUAGUGUUCUUUCCAGAGACAACUGUUGUUGUUCCAAGUGACAGCUGUUGUUACUUCCAGUGAAAACUGUAAUUGCUUCCAAUGACAGCUGUUAUGUUUCUAGUAACAGCUGUUGUUCUUUCCAGUGAUGGCUAAUGUUCUCUCAAGUUAUAGCUGUUAUCUUCCAGUGCCAGUUGUGCCGUCUAAUUACACAGAGCUACCCAAAUUAUCUUAAAGCUGCCAAAAGCUUCUUAGCAUUACAUAAGUAAUGAAGAACUAUGAUAUAUUUAAUAUUUACUCAUUAUAAUGUUGGUGCUGAAUGUAGAACUUGGAAAAAUAUAUUUCCAUUUUAAAUUAUAUAAUUUUAUAAUGAAAUUAGAUGAAAUUAAGCAGCAGAUGAUGCCACAGGAAGUCAACGCUCCAAGCGAUAAUGUUGUGACUUUGGGUAAUUAGAUGGACCCAAUUUCGUUAUAAAAUUAUAUAAUUUCAGAGUAAAAAUAUGUUUUUCUGUGAGAAACCUCUAUAGCUCCCUGGAGCUUAUCAGGGUAAUGUACUUUAUAUUAGACUGGGCCAUUAGCUAUGGAGUUCAGACCUAUCAGGGACCAGAGCCAGAAUCUAGCCCCUUCACUGAGGUUUCAGGGAGCAAUGGCCCUGGAAAACCCCCUUGUGGUUAAGGGGGGUUAAAACCCCCCUUCUCCUCGGCUCGUCACGUCUGGUCUUUUGACGCGGGCGUAUCACCAUCUCUUAUGGUGAUCAGAUGGCUUCGUUGAGGGUGUCCCACCUGCAUGUUUCGUCUCGGCGACAGUAUGUAAUUUCCUGGCUUUUCUUUUCACCUUUUUCAUGCUCUUCGUAGGUUGUCUUCUCUUUCACAUCGGGUUGUCUUGUCCUUUCUUGGUUUUUCAGGACCGUUAAUUGAUGCUUCUUACUGUCGCCUCAUAUCGUGCGGUGCUGGUGGAGCCGCUCCAGCUUGUGUUCGAGGUGGACGUCACAUCCACCCCGUUCCGUACGUUUUCUUGUGCUUUGUUUCACCUCCGACCUGCUCAUGUGCCACUUGAGCCGUCCUGGUCCUUGGUCAGGGUGCUCUCUUAUCUUUCCUCUCCUCAGUUUGCGGUAGCCCCAUCGGUUCAAGAUUGUUUUUCAAAGGCCUUCUUUUUUUUAGUUGUCAUUGGCCUCUGCGGGUCGGGUUGGGGAGCUUCCGGCUCUCCUCCGGCACAGGGGUUUCUGCUCUUUUGGUACUGGUGGUAGGUUUGUGUGUUUGCAGCCUUCUUCGUCUUUCUGGCAAAGGCCGAGAUGGCUGCUUUCUGGAGGGGUCCUUGGGUUAUUGAUGCUUGGCUGGUUCAGCUGGGGGUGCAUCAUGUGUUGUGACUGGUUGCAGCUCUUCCCCAUUACCUGCAUGCCGUGGCUGGGAAUGCAUUUUAGGUUGAUCCUGUUUCCCUCGUUCCCUCUUCCAGGGCUCGGGUCUCCCAGGUCAUCCGCAGGGUUCUUAAGUCUACCGACUUGCGGUCUAUCCUUGCGCCCGUGCUGUUCGGACGUUUGCAGCUUUCACUGCCGUAUAUGGUAACAUGUCUUGGGCUCAUUUCGAGUGAGGGGAUUUGGAGGUUGCACAGGUUCCUGGCCGCCUGUUCUUUCGUGAGCGUGUCUGCUCCUGGGUGUUCUUGUGUUGCUUUGGGUCGCAGGUUGCUGCCUCUUGUCUCAACUUCGCAUUGCAGAGUUUGUGGCGGUCGCCUGCCAGGUCGGCCCUUUUUCUUCCAUCUCUUUGGGUAUGUAGCUCCAGGGAGCUGUAGGGGCUCUCCAGAGAAAAAAAAAUACAUCUUGAAAACCUUUCCAGAUGUAAUAAAAAUUCAUUACGUCAGAAAUCAUUCUGAUGUAAUGAUGUUUCAUUACAUCAGAAUGUAAUGAAACGCCAUUUUCUGGGUGAGCCCUGGAGGCUCCCUGGCAACCCUCCCUCCAACCGGUCGGCGUUUUUUCGCGUUGGUUGAAGUUUAGCUUCCGAACUGGAGGGCUAGGCAGCCGGCAUGUUGAGGUCUGGGGCCCCCCCCCCCUCCUCCUCUUGAGGAGGGGAGGGCUGCACGGACGAGCGGCAUGGCAGUAAAGUGUGAUGUGUGCUUGUUUGCUUGUUUCCUUGGGAUUGUAGGGAUUUUCUACCUUUCUG